rnacentral:piRNA from 1 species
UAACUAGGGGCAACCAUAGUUGGAA